CCCAUUCCUCAAGUUUUGUCCUUGGUUCCCUAACGCCCUUGUUACCGUUGCUGUAGGAACUUGAAUCUUCACUGCUAAAUCUCUUCCUGUCACUCUUACGAUCUCACCGAGCUGCAAGAGCAAUGAGAGUUUUCACUGAGAACCAAAAGACAUCAGAACAGCACCAAACAUCCAAAAACAGGAUUGUGCAAGCUGGAUCAAGCCAAAUCGACCACCUUCCUCCAACUGAUCUCCAGGACAGUGUGCACCUGCACGAUUUGCUUUCAUACCUACUACGGGGUUUGCGCCACCUGCGAGGGCCUCCAGCCCCUUGAAGUGAUUGGUUCCGGUUUUGGCGCCUCACCUCGUAGGCCGGCAGGAUCUGAAGGGAAGUCUGCUGGGAACUUACGGGAAAGAGAGUUCUCACUGGUGCGGUGACAGGUGAGAGGGAGCCCUCGUCUUCAUCAAAUGGAUGCCUGGAGUGCAUUCAGCCCUUCCAGCUCCGGAGGCCCCGGCUAAGGGGAUCGUGCAGGCAGAGCAGGAAGCCCUGUGGGAGCACCUGGGCCCGCAUCCUUGGACAGAAUUCCACCUUCAUCUGCUGUGAUGACUCGACCUCCGGUUACUGUUCACCCCAUUCUGUUUCUGCAGGCGACACAGAGUGAGUUCAGAGUUUUCAUUUGACGAUCACAGGGGUCCAAGGCACCACCUCCCUAAAGGUUAAGGAUGUCUGCAGAAGGGGUUCAGUUAGAUGCUGAUUCACUGGUUGAUUGACAGAGCACACAGAACCCCUGGAACGUUGUUCCUCUGAGUAAUGCAGGCACCACGCCUGGGAACCUGCUGGGUUUGCUUAGAGGAGGUUGUCUAAUAGGUGUGCUGUUCCUCCACUCAAGCCCACUGCUCGGCACUGCCAGGCUGCGGAGAGAGCUUAGGCCCAGCAGGGGUCCGGGGAGCGCUGUCCUGGGAGAAGCCAGGGACGACCUCCUCUAGGGCGUGCAGAACAAGCAGACUUCAUGCACACGCCUCCUCUGAGUUGUAGUGUUGAGACCCAGUCUGAAGCUGUGCCUACAUUUAACUGCGAGCUGCCUCGAUUAUUAAAAUGCCCC
rnacentral:lncRNA from 1 species